GAUGAACGCUGGCGGCGUGCUUAACACAUGCAAGUCGAACGAAGCGCUAGAGAUUGAUUCUUCGGAAGAUUUCUCUUGUGACUUAGUGGCGGACGGGUGAGUAACGCGUGGGUAACCUGCCUCACACAGGGGGAUAACAGUUGGAAACGACCGCUAAUACCGCAUAACCCGCUAGGGCCGCAUGGCCCGGACGGAAAAGAUUUAUCGGUGUGAGAUGGACCCGCGUUGGAUUAGCUAGUUGGCAGGGUAACGGCCUACCAAGGCGACGAUCCAUAGCCGGCCUGAGAGGGUGAACGGCCACAUUGGGACUGAGACACGGCCCAAACUCCUACGGGAGGCAGCAGUGGGGAAUAUUGCACAAUGGGGGAAACCCUGAUGCAGCGACGCCGCGUGAGUGAAGAAGUAUUUCGGUAUGUAAAGCUCUAUCAGCAGGGAAGAAAAUGACGGUACCUGACUAAGAAGCCCCGGCUAACUACGUGCCAGCCGCCGCGGUAA
rnacentral:rRNA from 1 species